rnacentral:misc_RNA from 1 species
AUUGUGCGGCACUGUCAUGGGGCGGUCUCUUCGUUGUCCAUCGCCUAGUAAUUUGCUUUACUGGUUAUGGAUGAUUGUGAAUGGUUGCCUGUAUGGUUCUACCCUUCUGGGUAGCACAUUAUUGUCCCGUCGAUGUCUAUUUAGCUUGUUCUGUUAACGUUAGUUGACAGGGCGGCCGAGAUGUUAGCGACUUCUAAGUGUUUCCAUGUACAUUGUCUUGGUAAUGCACUUAGAUGUUUGUUGGUUCUCAUGGAUGUGGUCCCUAUUGUGAGCUCUAUGGGCUUUGUGCCUGCAGAACUUGUGAGGUUGCCCCUGCAUAUAACAUUGCUCUAUUUUUUCGCAAACAUGUCGUGGUUUAAGCGCCAUGUUGUAGUGAUUCUAUUGGGGUGUUGUUGUUCGCUUGCGGCAUGCCUCUUAGACCGAAUGACUUGCGAUUGCUGGUUUGCGUUAUCACAAGA